GCCAACAUGGUAUAGUGGUUUGAAUGUCGGACUAUGACUCUGGAGACCAGGGUUCGAAUACCGUCUUGACC